rnacentral:rRNA from 1 species
GGCUCAGGAUGAACGCUAGCGACAGGCUUAACACAUGCAAGUCGAGGGGUAACAGGGUAGCAAUACCGCUGACGACCGGCGCACGGGUGAGUAACGCGUAUGCAACCUGCCUAUAACUGGGGAAUAGCUCCCUGAAAGGGGAAUUAACACCGCAUAACACUAUUGAUUCGCAUGGAUUGGUAGUUAAAUGUAGCGAUACAGGUUAUAGAUGGGCAUGCGUGACAUUAGCUAGUUGGUGAGGUAACGGCUCACCAAGGCUACGAUGUCUAGGGGUUCUGAGAGGAAGGUCCCCCACACUGGUACUGAGACACGGACCAGACUCCUACGGGAGGCAGCAGUGAGGAAUAUUGGUCAAUGGGCGCUAGCCUGAACCAGCCAAGUCGCGUGAAGGAAUGACAGAUCUAUGGUUUGUAAACUUCUUUGCAGGGGAGUAAAGCGCGACACGUGUGUUGUAUUGCAAGUACCCUGCGAAUAAGCAUCGGCUAACUCCGUGCCAGCCGCCGC